AGGCUUCCGGACUCGGGCCCAGGGAGGUCGGCAACGACCACCCAGGGCCGGAAAGCUAUCCAAACUCGGUCAUUUAGAGGAAGUAAAAGUCGUAACAAGGUCUCCGUUGGUGAACCAGCGGAGGGAUCAUUA
rnacentral:ncRNA from 1 species